CCCUUAGAUGUUCUGGGCCGCACGCGUGCUACACUGAGUGGAUCAGCGGGUCAGGUUGCGCGAAAGUGUUUCCUAAUCUUUAAAUCCGCUCGUGAUGGGGAUUGACGGUUGCAAUUUUCCGUCAUGAACGAGGAAUACCUUGUAAGCGCGGGUCAUCAUCCCGCGCUGAAUACGUCCCUGCCCUUUGUACACACCGCCCGUCGCUCCUACCGAUUGAGUGGUCCGGUGAGGCUUUGGGAUCUGAGCGGAAAGAGCGUUUCGCUGUUUCUGCCCGGAAAACUCAGUCGAACCUUAUCAUUUAGCGGAAGGAGAAGUCGUAACA
rnacentral:rRNA from 1 species